GAAAAGAUGGAAAGCAAUUUAUAAAAUAAUCUGAUAUAUUUCUGGCAUUUAAGAAUUAAAAGAUUCAAGCACCAAUAAUUAAUUCCCUUAAAUUAUUACUGUAAAUGGCAUAAUUACUGGAGUAGUAUUUGGAGAAGGAAAUAUUCAUCGAGCUACGAAAACUUCUAUAAUAAAUCUAACAAGAUAAGGGAUCAUUUCUCAUACGGCAUCGUUAUUAGGAGUCCAUUUUUCAAGUGUUAAGAUGCAUAAAAUAGGGAAGAGGAGAAGGUAAGUACAAAGAAGAAUGGAAAUAUUAAAGUAUGGAUAACUAAGAAGAAUAAAAACAGAAAUAAGAAGAUAAGAAUUGAUGGAAAUAUCAAGCAUAUUGUAUAAAAAUAUUAAAUAUAAGCCUUAAAGAAUAGUCAUUCAGGUAAACUCGUGAACUGAAUUCUUUAAAGCUUCGUAAUUUGUGAAUCGAAGAAGAAGAAGAAUCGCAUUUGGAAUUGUUUUUAAAAUAAAAUUUGAUAUUUGAAGCUGCUUACGUUCAAAUUAUGCAAAUUGUGGCUUCUGGAUCUGAAUGUUGGACACAUCUGGAUGUUCAGUACAAGUACAUGUAUCAUUAUUAUUAAAUGUGAUACUUUUACAGACAGGGAGUACUGAACAGAUUUCCACUUGGCUGUAAUUACAGUGCUUCAAGAGAUUCUAGUUUGACAAGCACUGAUGUUAAUUAGUUGCAGAUUUAUUUUGAAAAAGGAAGAAGAAGAAGAAAAAAAUCACGAGGAAAAAGUGCCCGUCUUGGGAAAUUAAAGAAUAUUAUUCGAUAAAACAAUAGGGAAUUUGGCAAUUAAUUUUGAUUCAAUUAAAGAGAUUCCAGCAAACCGUCCGAGAAAAGUGAAAAAAUUUUUUUUUA